rnacentral:rRNA from 1 species
CCUGAGAAACCCAAAAGAUCGAAUGGGGAGAUUCAUCGUCAGCUCAUUUUGUAUAUGUAUAAAUUAUGAUGCGGGUUACUACUUGUAGUAUUGCCUGUACAUGUUUAUAUAUUUAGUUGCAGAAUGUUGUCGGCGUGCACUUCUCCCCUAGUAGGACGUCGCGACCCGUUGAGUGUCGGUCUACGGCCCAAAUGAAAGUCUUUAAUAUUUAAUAAUAUUAAAAGCAUUUGGUGUUACCUGACCGGCUACUCGGCGGUACUCGUAUGGUAUUAAGCCGCAUUUUUAUUAUGCGUCCAUGCCCGUCGCAAGCGAGGCCAAUUUUUGGUAGUGCGGACCUAGUGCCGUCGCUGGAUUUGGCCAGCUGUUGGUUGUUACGGUGUUCUAGGACUGGCUGAAAUAUAAUAAUACCGGUCGGCGAUGCUACUGCUUUGGGUACUUUCAGG